UACGUAGGGUGCAAGCGUUUAAUCGGAAUUACUGGGCGUAAAGCGUGCGCAGGCGGUGAUGUAAGACAGUUGUGAAAUCCCCGGGCUCAACCUGGGAAUGGCGUUGGUGACUGCAAGGCUAGAGUUUGGCAGAGGGGGGUAGAAUUCCACGUGUAGCAGUGAAAUGCGUAGAGAUGUGGAGGAACACCGAUGGCGAAGGCAGCCCCCUGGGCUGAGAUUGACGCUCAGGCACGAAAGCGUGGGGAGCAAACAGG
rnacentral:rRNA from 1 species